rnacentral:rRNA from 1 species
UGGGGAAUAUUGCACAAUGGGCGCAAGCCUGAUGCAGCCAUGCCGCGUGUAUGAAGAAGGCCUUCGGGUUGUAAAGUACUUUCAGCGGGGAGGAAGGGAGUAAAGUUAAUACCUUUGCUCAUUGACGUUACCCGCAGAAGAAGCACCGGCUAACUCCGUGCCAGCAGCCGCGGUAAUACGGAGGGUGCAAGCGUUAAUCGGAAUUACUGGGCGUAAAGCGCACGCCGGCGGUUUGUUAAGUCAGAUGUGAAAUCCCCGGGCUCAACCUGGGAACUGCAUCUGAUACUGGCAAGCUUGAGUCUCGUAGAGAGGGGUAGAAUUCCAGGUGUAGCGGUGAAAUGCGUAGAGAUAUGGAGGAAUACCGGUGGCGAAGGCGGCCCCCUGGACGAAGACUGACGCUCAGGUGCGAAAGCGUGGGGAGCAAACAGG